AUGAGUGCACCCCACACACUCAGCAGAUGUAGCUAGAUGAGAGGAGGGUUACUCCCCUCCUUACAGCAGCACAACUGUGCUCAUUUCUUACCUAACCUGAGCCCCAGGCACACUCAACAUGCAAGAAUGACACCACUCUACCUACUAGUGUGGGACAAUGGAGCUCAUGUUAAACAUUUGGGUUCUUCACUCAUGCCAUGAGGAUGUCUACUAGGGUCCAUAUACCCUCCACUAAAGUCUCCCCCUUCAUGGUCUUCAACAAUGAUGACAACUGGAGACAACAGCUGAUGAGAUGAUUGCACACCCAUCUGAGUGACUUGGUCCCGUCCGUCUUUAUUGAGAAGCUCAGCCUACCAAUGUCAUCUGAAGGAGCAUGAAUAGUUGUAUCAGGACUGGUGUGGCAUGGGGACCAGGCAGAUGUGGAUUUGGACCUCAGUUCUGUGCUUGCUGUGUGGCCUUCAUCUCUGACCUGGAGUUUUCUCACCUGAGGCACGUGGGGUCAAACCCCUGCUUUGUGUGGAUGGUGUGGAGGUUGGCAGUGCUAACCGUGGAGUCUCACCCGGUACGGAGGACAUCACUGGAACUCAAAAAAGGGCAGCCAAAGUUACUACUAUUUUCAUUUUUAAAAAUUAAAUAAAAUGAGAGAGUCCUAACUCUGG
ensembl:lncRNA